rnacentral:lncRNA from 1 species
GCACAGGACUGCGUCUCUCACCACCACAGCCAGGCAGCUGCUCUUCUAGCUUCUGAUUAUCAUCCCCAAGCCAUGCCUUGGUCAUUUCUGAGUUGAACAAAAUCUGCCAACGAUUUGCACUUCUGUCGUCCCUUUCAUCUGGGAACCACAAGGCCAUCUGAAACUUCUCUGAUCAGCUUCAGAGGAGUCCCCUCUAUCAGUUAAGAAUUGUACUCUACACUGAGAAGCAGGUAUUGCAUUUGUUGGUCGCAAGGAUAAUCCCCCAAAUUCCCACAGCAUCCAGAUGAAGUUGUCUACUGUCCACAGGAUGUUCAGCAAAGACACCGGGAUGUAUUUGCCUGAAGAAGAACGGAAGAGAACUGAAAAGAGACAUCUAAGGGGAUGACGUUGUCAUCGGGCCAUUAAUACCUGAACUGCAUUUUAUUUCACAGAGGGCCUCAGGUACUCACAUAGCCCUACAGUGUGGAAUCAAUGUCUGAGAAACCAGGAAGAAAAUCUGACCCAAAGCUAGGUAAGUGCCAGUUUCUGAUGCAGGAAGAAUAAAGUUAAAUCCACCCGGGCUCAGUGAAGGAUGACAUGUCACUCUUUAAGGUUUCCUCUGUCCGAUUGCUGUAUGAACCCAUAUCCAGUAGUGUUAUAGUAGAUGUCUUCCCAGGAGGAAGAUUCCUCAUCUUCAACCCAAGUUUGCUUUUGUUCAAUGCAUUCACACUGUAGGAUCCUUCCUGAGAUUUGCUGUAAUAGAUUUGACUUGUGCUUCCAUGAGGUACCAUCACUUGUCUUAAAGGGUGGAAGGAAGCCAAUGGAUGGUAACCUGAAUGUGGGAGGGAAAACUCCAUUUUCCUCUGAAGGCGGAGCCAAGUGCAAAGUGAGAGCAUUGUAUUUUGGGUCUAAUGCACCUCUUGUUCAGCUCGGUGCAGCCUGAAUCUACAUACCAUUUUUCUUAGUGGAAAGGCAGAGAGAGAAGCUGAUACCUUCAGGAACAGCGAAUGCCACACUUGUUUCUGCUCCCCCUGGAUUUAUCAUGGAAGGUGAUCUAAUCCAUCCAUUCCCAGAAGAGAGUGUGUUGUAGCACUGGGUAUUUAUUCUCAGCAUGCCAAAGUUCUGUGCCCACAGAAAAGGUCCACCUCGCCUACUGUCAAGACUUUGGGUAGAUGUGUGGAUGCUCAGAUGCCUUGCUCCUUUCUCCUUUCUCAUGCAUGUUUCUGGCUUUGUGUAUUCCCUGGAUUUUGCCCAUGUCCUUCAUCACUGUGGGCUCCAAGAUACACUUUACUUGGUCUGUGAAAAACAGCUGACUCAACUGAAAACCUCCAUGGACUUCUUCACUAUUGAUUCAGGGUGGACUCUACUUGCAUUGGUGAAAUUCCAGCCUGGGUUACUUCUGUCCAGUCUUAAUACUGAAAUUCUAGAGAGUAGCCACCCAAUCUGGAAGCCACGACAAAACUCUUGAUGGACGUGGGGAACUAGGUCAAUAUGUCACAUCCACAUCAUCCUAGAUCAGAUUGCCUGGGGACACAAUGACCAAGCUUUCCCAUCCAUAGAAGACAUGCUUCAGGCUGUCCCUACAGGCCCCCUCCAGCUCUUUAAGAGAGAUCCUUAGGGAGGCCCUGGUCUUUGUCAGAGACUGGGGUUGGUGGAGGGUGGCUAAUCUGUAAGUCUCCAGAAAACUAUGUGUCUGUCCUAUACAAUCUCAGCAAGCUGUUGGCCCAAAGUCUUGUGUUUUGCACUAACCAUGUAUCUCUCACUUCAUAUUAAACAAUACCCUCAACUUUUCAUCCUGAAAUCUCUUCUUGGUACAUUUGUUCAUUUUUCAUUCAUCUUUUCCUUUCUAAAUUUUCAAUGAUGUCCCUGAAUCAGGUGCAGAGAGAUGGCUCAAUUAAAAUAGUAGGGAGUGAACAUUACACUGGAAAUAAAUGUGGUAUAUUUAAGAAUUUAUGACAGGUUUUGAGACAGAUGUUGAUUUUACUUCAAAAUAAAGUACAGUUAUUUUAUGCAA